UUUUUACAGCAAUCGCAGUAGAUUAUUUGAAUUCUUUUAGUAGAUUUGUAGAAACUGCAGUACCAGGAACAGUACCGAUGAACAAUUACUGUCGUAAUAGAUCAGCCACUUCUUGGGAGGGAUCUUUCAAUCCAAAGGUUUUCCAAUCGUCUCAACUUCUAUAACAAUAAACUAUGUUUACAAUAAAAUAUAAUAUACUAUUAAAAAUAAAUUUACAAUUUUGUAAUUAAAUGGAAUAGUAAUACAAAUUUAACAAUAUAAA